UACGUAGGGGGCUAGCGUUGUCCGGAUUUAUUGGGCGUAAAGAGCGUGUAGGCGGCCAGGUAGGUCUGCUGUGAAAACUCGAGGCUCAACCUCGAGAUGUCGGCGGAAACCAUCUGGCUAGAGUCCGGAAGAGGAGAGUGGAAUUCCUGGUGUAGCGGUGAAAUGCGCAGAUAUCAGGAAGAACACCGAUGGCGAAGGCAGUGUUCUGGGCCAGUACUGACGCUGAGGAGCGAAAGCGUGGGGAGCGAACAGG
rnacentral:rRNA from 1 species